rnacentral:rRNA from 1 species
GAAGUCUGACGGAGCACGCCGCGUGAGUGAUGAAGGUUUCGGAUCGUAAAACUCUGUUGUUAGGGAAGAACAAGUGCAUAGUAACUGAUGGCACCUUGACGGUACCUAACCAGAAAGCCACGGCUAACUACGUGCCAGCAGCCGCGGUAAUACGUAGGUGGCAAGCGUUGUCCGGAAUUAUUGGGCGUAAAGCGCUCGCAGGCGGUUCUUUAAGUCUGAUGUGAAAUCUUACGGCUCAACCGUAAACGUGCAUUGGAAACUGGGGAACUUGAGUGCAGAAGAGGAGAGUGGAAUUCCACGUGUAGCGGUGAAAUGCGUAGAGAUGUGGAGGAACACCAGUGGCGAAGGCGACUCUCUGGUCUGUAACUGACGCUGAGGAGCGAAAGCGUGGGGAGCGAACAGGAUUAGAUACCCUGGUAGUCCACGCCGUAAACGAUGAGUGCUAGGUGU